rnacentral:rRNA from 2 species
UUGACCUCGAAUCAGGUAGGGAUACCCGCUGAACUUAAG